CUACGGGGGGCAGCAGUAGGGAAUAUUGGGCAAUGGGCGAAAGCCUGACCCAGCCAUGCCGCGUGUGUGAUGAAGGCCCUAGGGUUGUAAAGCACUUUCAAUGGUGAAGAUAAUGACGGUAACCAUAGAAGAAGCCCCGGCUAACUUCGUGCCAGCAGCCGCGGUAAUACGAAGGGGGCAAGCGUUGUUCGGAUUUACUGGGCGUAAAGCGCGUGCAGGCGGUUUGUUAAGUUAGAUGUGAAAGCCCAGGGCUCAACCCUGGAAUUGCAUUUAAUACUGGCAAACUUGAGUAUAGGAGAGGAGAACGGAAUUUCCAGUGUAGAGGUGAAAUUCGUAGAUAUUGGAAAGAACACCAGUGGCGAAGGCGGUUCUCUGGCCUAAUACUGACGCUGAGGCGCGAAAGCGUGGGGAGCAAACAGGAUUAGAUACCCGCGUAGUC
rnacentral:rRNA from 1 species